rnacentral:rRNA from 1 species
CAGUCGCCGCGGGAAUACAGAGGGUGCAAGCGUUAAUCGGAAUUACUGGGCGUAAAGCGCGCGUAGGUGGUUUGUUAAGUUGGAUGUGAAAUCCCCGGGCUCAACCUGGGAACUGCAUCCAAAACUGGCAAGCUAGAGUAUGGUAGAGGGUGGUGGAAUUUCCUGUGUAGCGGUGAAAUGCGUAGAUAUAGGAAGGAACACCAGUGGCGAAGGCGACCACCUGGACUGAUACUGACACUGAGGUGCGAAAGCGUGGGUAGCAAACAGGAUUAGAUACCCCGGUAGUCCCUGUCUCUUAUAC